UUAGUCAUUGCUUGGUCGCAGUCUCGGAAGAAUUAAACAUAUACAUUUCGCGCAUACGGCACAAGCAUGAGCAACUUCGGAACGCACUUUCUUUUGCUGCUGGUUGUUACAACGGCACUGGUAUCAGCAAUGCCUCAUCCUGGCGGUCACCAUGACGAACACACGCAUUUUAUCAUUCACGUGCCACAUCUCAUCCACAAGCAUCAUCACACGCAUGUGAAGAAAAUUUACAUACCGGUCAAAUCAGACGAUCAUCACGAGCAUCACGAACACGAGGACAGCUGGUAAAUUACUUCGUUUCUCACGGCUUAUGAUUAAAGAACUCGUCUCGCUAAUGGAGUUUUAUUUAAUUGUAUCACUGUUGUUAUUUUGAUGACUCUUUGUUAUUGAUUUGUUGUUAUUGUUGAGCUUGUUGUUGCAAAACUAAAUCAUAUUUAUAUAUUAUAGAUUAUAUUUCAUUGUUCUAGAAUAUUCUCUCAUUUGUGCGAACAUUUUUGAAAUGUAAGCAAGAAAUUUAUGC